UACAGAGGGAGCGAGCGUUGUUCGGAAUUACUGGGCGUAAAGGGCGCGUAGGCGGCCUUCUAAGUCGAACGUGAAAUCCCCGGGCUCAACCCGGGAACUGCGUCCGAUACUGGGAGGCUUGAAUCCGGGAGAGGGAUGUGGAAUUCCAGGUGUAGCGGUGAAAUGCGUAGAUAUCUGGAGGAACACCGGUGGCGAAGGCGGCAUCCUGGACCGGUAUUGACGCUGAGGCGCGAAAGCCAGGGGAGCAAACGGG
rnacentral:rRNA from 1 species